GGUGAAACCGCGAAAGGCUCAUUAAAUCAGUUAUGGUUCCUUAGAUCGUACCCACACUUACUUGGAUAACUGUGGUAAUUCUAGAGCUAAUACAUGCAAAUAGAGCUCCGACCGGAGACGGAAGGAGUGCUUUUAUUAGAUCAAAACCAAUCGGCGACGGGUCAAACCGUUGUCGUAAUAUUUGGUGACUCUGAAUAACUUUUUGCUGAUCGCACGGUCUUGCACCGGCGACGCAUCUUUCAAAUGUCUGCCUUAUCAACUGUCGAUGGUAGGUUCUGCGCCUACCAUGGUUGUAACGGGUAACGGGGAAUCAGGGUUCGAUUCCGGAGAGGGAGCCUGAGAAACGGCUACCACAUCCAAGGAAGGCAGCAKGCGCGCAAAUUACCCACUCYCGGCACGGGGAGGUAGUGACGAAAAAUAACGAUACGGGACUCAUCCGAGGYCCCGUAAUCGGAAUGAGUACACUUUAAAACCUUUAACAWGGAUCWAUUGKAGGGCAAGUCUGGUGCCAGCAGCCGCGGUAAUUCYAGCUCCAAUAGCGUAUAUUMWAGUUGUUGCGGUUAAAAMGCUCGUAGWCGAMUCUGUGUCCCGCGCCGUCRGKUCACCGCUCKCGGUGUWCAACUGGCGUGUCCGUGGGACGUCCUGCCGGUGGGCUUARUCUUUCGGGGCUGCCCWSUUAAAUCGCAUCGCGGUGCUCWUCAUUGAGUGUCGA
rnacentral:rRNA from 1 species